AGUCGAGCGGGGGAAGGUAGCUUGCUACCGGACCUAGCGGCGGACGGGUGAGUAAUGCUUAGGAAUCUGCCUAUUAGUGGGGGACAACAUCUCGAAAGGGAUGCUAAUACCGCAUACGUCCUACGGGAGAAAGCAGGGGAUCUUCGGACCUUGCGCUAAUAGAUGAGCCUAAGUCGGAUUAGCUAGUUGGUGGGGUAAAGGCCUACCAAGGCGACGAUCUGUAGCGGGUCUGAGAGGAUGAUCCGCCACACUGGGACUGAGACACGGCCCAGACUCCUACGGGAGGCAGCAGUGGGGAAUAUUGGACAAUGGGGGGAACCCUGAUCCAGCCAUGCCGCGUGUGUGAAGAAGGCCUUAUGGUUGUAAAGCACUUUAAGCGAGGAGGAGGCUACUUUAGUUAAUACCUAGAGAUAGUGGACGUUACUCGCAGAAUAAGCACCGGCUAACUCUGUGCCAGCAGCCGCGGUAAUACAGAGGGUGCGAGCGUUAAUCGGAUUUACUGGGCGUAAAGCGUGCGUAGGCGGCUUAUUAAGUCGGAUGUGAAAUCCCCGAGCUUAACUUGGGAAUUGCAUUCGAUACUGGUGAGCUAGAGUAUGGGAGAGGAUGGUAGAAUUCCAGGUGUAGCGGUGAAAUGCGUAGAGAUCUGGAGGAAUACCGAUGGCGAAGGCAGCCAUCUGGCCUAAUACUGACGCUGAGUACGAAAGCAUGGGGAGCAAACAGGAUUAGAUACCCUGGUAGUCCAUGCCGUAAACGAUGUCUACUAGCCG
rnacentral:rRNA from 1 species